rnacentral:lncRNA from 1 species
GAAGCCGGUGUAACUCCACUCUUUGAUCUGGUGUGAGUAUGUGUAUAUCAAAGGGUGGUGGCUUCACAUAUGGCUGAUCUUCAAUGUGAUCUUCAAAUGUCUCUUCCUCUUCUUGUGGCUUCUCAAAGUAGCUUGAAGCCAUCUCUACAAAUAACAAAAGCUAGAAGAAGAGGUUAGUAGCUACACAAAAACAAAACAAAGCAUAAGAAAAUAAAGCUUAAUCUCAAGAAAGUUUGAAAUCCUAAUGACAAAUCUACUUAGUUCCCCGGCAACGGCGCCAAAUUGAUUACGCGUUUAAGCACAUACCAAUUAACCUAAUGUGCCAACAAUACCACAAUCGAAUGGU